GUCGGCUGCUAGCCACGCACGAGCCGUAUCGAUCAGCAGACGACCACAGAUAAAACGGAGAUGCGAAACGGGAAACCUGAAAGAAAAAAACAAAUACUUUUGCGAUGCUAGCGCCUUUCCAACUAGGUCCGAAACUGCAUUAUCCCUACAGUCGUAGUAACGUGUUUCGCAUUCUUUCAAUCCGAAAGCUGCGCACCUGAAAUCAAAAUCUUUUCGCUAGGUGGCAGGAAACUGCAAUCAGCACAAUCUUUCCAUGGAUGUUGCAAGGAUUCUGUAGCACCUACGACUACGUGAAACGUUGUUUAUAUAAAACCUGUAUUUAUAAAUAACGUUACUCCUACGUUCGUUUGCUUUGUUUUCAAAACAAGGCCCUCCUUAGUUUUGCUACCAUACCACAAUGAAGAGUCUCGUUAAAUGGUAGCCAUUGGGCGGAAGUUCCCUGGAAAGGGAACGUAGCUGAGUUUGUCAGAUCCUCUUUGAAUCGUGACGACGAACAAUCCAUCGAUCAAGUUUUUAUUCACACCGCAGCUGGAAAUUUCUCUCGGGAAAAAAGGUGCAUAACUUCUGGGUUCACUGUUCAACAAGGAGGACACGUUUCUUCCCUUAUUUUUUAUGCGAGUUGUUGCAAUAUUUUAGCCAAUAAUUGCAGUCAGUCGUGUUAUUUAUUUAUUCCGUUUUAUUUAUUUAUUUUUUGUUUUUCUUUUCUUUUCUUUUUCUUUUUCGUACUAGUGGGAUAGUUGCAGUUUAUAUUCGCUUGUUCGGGAGGGAUUUAUUUACGACUUGGGGAAAUUUUCGGGGCGUUAAAAACUACAGCAAAGUACACACACUCAGACACACACAAGUACGGCAGACACACACACACUCACACACACUUGGAAAGAGUGGAAGAAGGGAAAUGUUUGGCGACAAUAGACGAGAUUUCUUGCUCGUUGUCUUUGUUUUUUUUCUUUGUCUUUUGGUGUUUGCUGAGUAAACCAAAGACGAACAACAACGCAGAAAAAAAACAAAAACAAAAGAGAGAGAGAGAGAGAGAUAGACAAGUCAGAAGACAGUUGGUAUUUAGGUUUUGGUUUUGGUUUGUGUUUCUUUUCUUUUCCCUAUUCAAAUAUAACCAAAAAAAGAAGAACAGACAUAUCACACAGUGAUCUGCUACUCGUUUGGUUUUUGUUUGUUUUUUUGAACCGGUAAAAAUAAUGACAAGCAAAUUACUUAGAAAUAAUGCCCUAAUAUAUUGUUUUGUUUCAAACCGGCUGUUCUCUACUGACCAUGGGCAAACUGUUAUCUUUGUCAGCCAAAAGAGUUUUGAGCGGAACGUAAUCUCGAUCUGGUACGGCUGUCGUUUCUUGCGUCUGCAUUCCGUAGGCAAGGUCGCCGCCGACUAAUCGCACAAGUAAAAAAAAAAAAACAAUAAUAAAAUAAAAAAAUAAA